GAGCUGCCUACCAUCUUGUGUGCACGCCCCCAGCAGGUUGAUGAUAUUCUUGUGCUUCCCGAUCAUCUUCAUCAUCUCCAUCUCUGAGAUCAGAUCUGACAGGUCCUUCUCCGUUGCGUCGGCUUCACAUGCAAACCAGAGAGCCAGGACUCCUUUCUUUCCUCCCGCUUCCCACCCAGGAGCCACCACUACCAUGUGGUAACUGAAGGUGGCUGGAGAUAGUUGUGGGACUAAAAUGAACACCUGAGCCCAGGACAACACUAAGAAUCAAGGGGUCCGCAGUGGAAAACUACAGCAGCAUUACCUGUCUCGGGGCAGCUCCCAGCGGGGAUCUUCAGGGAGCUCAUAUUCGGAGACUCCAGCUAGCAUAGGGGUCCCACUGGAGGAGAGCCGUGAAGGCCGAACCAGGAGAACCCCGGAGUUCAUGGAUGCACUGGAGUCAGCUGACACCUGUAAGGAAGAGUGGGGUUACCCUUCGAGCAAGGAGAGGGCGAAGCGGUAGACAGCGC